GUGAGAUCAAAGCUGAAGCUGACUGUGAUCUGAUCAAGGAAAAUGAGACUCUCAAGGAAAGACUCCAGGAACUUGAGAGAGAUCGCAAGGAGCUGACCGAAGAAAAUCUGGAACUUCUGUACAAUCUGAAAUCAAAGGGAACUUCCUCUAUCAGUGAUUCCAUUUUAAGAUCAUCUUCCGUUGACCAUCAACUAAGUCAACA
rnacentral:misc_RNA from 1 species